CUAGAUAGUUAUUUAUUUAUUUUAUUUUUAAAUUUUUUUUUUUGACACCACUUCAUUAUUGAUCAUCUCGAGCACUUCAUUAUUCCAGCGUGGACUGGGGGCAACCCAUACCAAGUCUUUUACAUCUUUGCUCCGUGACGCUUCAGCAAUGCAGAGGUCCGGCUUCGCAGGGAAUGCUGGAAGCCAGCACCAGAUGGACUGUUUCUCUACUUCUCUCAACGCAAAUUCAGCGGAACCGAGGGAAAUACCCCGGGAGACCUGUGCCCUGAGGCAUCAGGGUCCCCUUCCCAGCAGGGGAUACUCGGGAGGAGGGAAUGAACUGCCGCGUGCCCGACGUUUCUCUCGCAUCUUGCCCCAAGCAAAGCGUUUCAAAAAUCAGGUGAGUAUGUACUCGUGACUCUGCCUUUCUAGAUAACUGCGGUAUAUAACACCACCCCGGAGAGGUAUGUGCGAGGGGCUGACGGAAACUUUCCCGUGCACAACUGAGUCGGUCUAAGGCGCUGUCUUGCCAGCAGCGGCCAGGCACCCCGAGGCUUCUGUCUCCGGUAUCUACCUGUGGGGCGCCGGCUGGCCCGGGAGCCGCCACCCGGCCGGCUGCCGCCCCUUCGGCCCUCCCAGGCUCUCCGCGGGCACCCACGGGCGGGGAGAGUCCGCGCCCACGGUACCUGCCCCCCACGGAAUCCUUCGGCCGGGCCGCCUUUCUCUCCCGAGCCCCCGGCGUGGGUCCCGCGGGGCGAGGCGGUUUCCCCGGCCGGGAGCUGGCGGCCGGGGCAAGCCCGGAGCCGCUCCUCCGCCGCACCCGCCCGGCCCCCGCGCGGGGCGGGACGCGGCCGAGAGCCGUGGGGGCAGCGCGGGGGGCGCCGUGGGGGCAGCCCCGGGCCAUCCCUCGUCCCUGCCGCCCGCCGGCUCGGGCAGCUCCGCGGAGUCCCGCUGCCCUCCCCACGGACCGUGCUCCCAGCGAGAGGCUUGGGAUGUGAACUCCGGAGGGAAGAAAUGGGAAAAUAGGUGGUCUACAACGGGACUGUAUCACGACCAGAGCUGCCCAACUGCAUCAGACCACGAUGACUGGAUUUUAGAGACCUCAUGAGGCAGCGCAGGCUCGAGCUGUAUGAAAUCAGCAGAAAAAUGAUACUAACAGAAGAAUGACACCCCACGACAGAUGUACAACCUCAGUCAUGCUCCACACAGAAAAGCCUUGCUGUGAGUGCAUGCACUCAGCCAGCUUUGUGCCAAGGGGUGAUUCCAUUCCUGGUAGUCCCAUUGGAGGUGCUUUUGGUGAGCCUUAUAUCUGACAAGUUUGAGUACACCAGACAAAACUUCCUAAAUGGGGGUGGAAUGCAUCUUGGUAGGGGAAAACCUGGUCAGGGUCACAGCUGCUUCCUUGUUCUGGCAUGGGGUGCGGUGACACUAGAGUAAGGGACUGCAGGCAGAGUGUGACCUUCAUAUUUCCUGAAGGAGGAGUUGACUGUAGAAGGUAUUGUGAACCUUCCCACCUUUUUGGUGGUAAGCACACAGUUUGAGUAUGGCAACAUUGUUCCUUGUGUGCUUUCAGUCUUCUGGAGGGACCAUAGUCCCACAGUUCUUCCCCUGGGAUAAAUACAUGGCUGCUUACCUGGUUCUUCUGGAGGCCUUGGUGCCCUCCCAGCGCCACGGCUCUGUGAGCCCCUUUGUUUCCCAGGAGGAGCCAGGCUAUUCUGCUGCAACAGAGGUAAUUAUGGUUUUGGUGGCCUGGAUGGAAGUUCCGUUUACUUUGUAUUAGACUUCAAGUGAGCAAUCAAUCUGUCUGCUGCACUUCCUCAUUUGUCCUGUAAGAACAUAAGAUUGCUCUAUACUUAAGAGAAGUUAAGGAAGUAACUUAUGGGUGACUGACUUCUUUUGCUGUCCAUGCAGGUACACAGCCAUGUUCAAACCCAAAUGAUCAGUGCCCUUCCUGUUACACAGCUACUUAAGAUGUGCCCUUUCAUAUUGCAAGCUUUAUAAACUAACCAAGCUUUGGCUAUAUUGGACUAGAUGGAAGAAGGAGCAAGGCUGUAAAGUAGGUGCUAGUAGUAUUGGGCAAUCAAUGCGUAACAUCUUCUUGAUCGAGCAUUUGUUAAUGCCCUGGGAAAAGUGUUAGGUGAUAUUCUCCUGCUAGAGGUGCUGGCUUAAAAGAACAGUGAGACUUAAAUACUGAGAUUUGUUAUUACAUAUCGAACCUUUUUAUGAGUGCAGAUACGAUAACUCUAAGGUCCCAUUUCAGAUCCAAAUUAGGUAAUUUCUUAGUGUCUCUAAACUUCCCCUCCAGGUUUAGCUGUACAUUAUCCCUUGCUUUUGUAAACUGUUGCAUGUCCUGGCUUUGUGCUGUUGAAUGACUACAGUCUCUCCCCCUAAGAGUUACGGCAGUGGGCUUUAUGUUUGUUCACCUCAUAGGGGUAAUGUGUGGCUUCAUUAAGAUUUGUGUUCCUUUGUUGCUUCUUCAGAAAUGAUUUUAAUCAAAAAGCUCAGUGUUUAGAAAACAGCUUUGUGGGUUUCAGUCA